CCCUCCUUUCCACGCGGCUCUAAGCCCUUGAGUCCCCCUCGAGGAUUUGGAGGAGACGCCGCCGCCGCCGCCCGGCUCCUCCUCAAGACACCGCCGCCCGACUCCUCAACACGCCGCCGACCGACGCCUCGACGCCGACGUACCUCCUCCGCCGUACUGGCCUUCUCCCCGGUGAUCAGUGUUCAUGUACACUAGACUGUACAGGAACAUGGCAGGCAAUCUGCGGCGUUCAUAAUCUGCCUCUUCCACGCUCCACCACCAUCAGCCUCCUUAACCCCGACCGAAGAGCUGACCUUUUCCCCUCUAAGAGACCUACCGCGUGGAAUCUUGUCAGAGUGAACAAAUUACCGCCGUCUUGAGAUUUUAUAGUUUGUAGCAAGUUUUAUCUUUGUUGUAAAAUUAUGUGGUGGCUGUGAUGAAUUGUUAUUGCCGUGAAAGAUUAUGAUGUUAUGAUAAAUUAUGAUUGAUGGGAUUCGGAUUCGAAGUCAUGUUAUUAUGAUAAAUUAUGUUGUUGUGAUGAGAUAUUAAUUUCAAGUCAUGCAAAAUUAUGUU